rnacentral:rRNA from 1 species
UACGUAGGGUGCAAGCGUUAUCCGGAAUUAUUGGGCGUAAAGAGCUCGUAGGCGGUUUGUCGCGUCUGCUGUGAAAACUGGAGGCUCAACCUCCAGCCUGCAGUGGGUACGGGCAGACUAGAGUGCGGUAGGGGAGAUUGGAAUUCCUGGUGUAGCGGUGGAAUGCGCAGAUAUCAGGAGGAACACCGAUGGCGAAGGCAGAUCUCUGGGCCGUAACUGACGCUGAGGAGCGAAAGCGUGGGGAUCAAACAGG